GAUGAACGCUAGCUACAGGCUUAACACAUGCAAGUCGAGGGGAAACGGCAUCGUAAGCUUGCUUUUGAUGGGCGUCGACCGGCGCACGGGUGAGUAACGCGUAUCCAACCUGCCCAUCACUUGUGAAUAACCUUGCGAAAGUAAGACUAAUGCCCAAUGACAUCCCACGAAGGCAUCCGAAUGGGAUUAAAGAUUUAUCUGUGAUGGAGGGGGAUGCGUCUGAUGAGCUUGUUGGCGGUGUGACGGCCCACCAAGGCAACGAUCAGUAGGGGUUCUGAGAGGAAGGUCCCCCACAGUGGAACUGAGAAAAGGUGCAAACUGCUACGGGCGGCAGUAGUGAGGGGUAUUGGUCAAUGGGCGAGAGCCUGAACCAGCCAAGUAGCGUGCAGGAUGACGGCCCUAUGGGUUGUAAACUGCUUUUAUAAGGGAACAAAGUGCGUCACGGGUGACUUUUUGCAUGUAACUUAUGAAUAAGGACCGGCUAAUUCCGUG
rnacentral:rRNA from 1 species